UCAAGGCACAUCGUCUUUAGAGAGCAGAUGCUGAUGUCACAGUUGAAACACAGCAAAAGAAAAAGUUCUUUCUAACUGUAGAUCAAGCACAAAAGUUCCAUAAGCAAAUCCCACUCUCUAGACACUGUCUGAUAAAGAAAUCUGUGCUACUUUUGGUUAGGAUAAUCCUGAAAUCUUGCUCACAGGUGGCCACAUAUAAUCAAACAUUACGGGCUCAGAGCAAUGGAGACAGUUACCAUUCUGCUUCAUGAGAAUCACCCUCUUCUUCUCUGAAGGUUUUCUUCAGGUUGGGGAUUUUGAUUCAACUUUCAGCACACCUAGAAGAUCUCCAUAUAAAGUUUUGGAAGAUUUCCUAAUUAACUCAAAGUUGGUGCUCUUUGGAAGUAACCACACUUCCAAGACCCAGCCAGUAACCCAUAUCAAUCAGUGAUAUAAUAAAGGCAAGUGCUAAGGUACCCUCUUCGCUCUUCUACAACAGUAAUAUCUUGCAAAACUGAAAUAUAAAAAGCUAACGUGGUCUGCUAGGUCCACUGUGAAGAUUAAUACAUUACCUCUGAGCUCAUGUAGAACAGAGUCGACUCUUCGCCUUAAUUCUAAGUCAAGUGGAACAAUCUUAGUUGUCCUAGUGUGAAGUGUA